rnacentral:rRNA from 1 species
UACGUAGGGAGCAAGCGUUGUCCGGAAUCAUUGGGCGUAAAGCGCGCGUAGGUGGCUCCGUAAGUCCGUUGUGAAAGUCAAAGGCUCAACCUUUGAAAGCCGAUGGAUACUGCGGAGCUAGAGUACGGAAGAGGCGAGUGGAAUUCCUGGUGUAGCGGUGGAAUGCGCAGAUAUCAGGAGGAACACCAAUAGCGAAGGCAGCUCGCUGGGACGUUACUGACACUGAGGCGCGAAAGCUAGGGUAGCAAACGGG